AUUUCAAAUGUUUAUUUCUUUUAAUUUUGAGGAUUAGAGCUUACAGCUCAUGAAAGUCAAAAAUCAGUAUCUCAAAAUAUUAGAAUAUUACUUAAGACCAAUACAAAGAAAGGAUUUUUAGAAAUCUUGGCCAACUGAAAAGUAUGAAAAUGAAAAGUAUGAGCAUGUACAGCACUCAAUACUUAGUUGGGGCUCCUUUUGCCUGAAUUACUGCAGCAAUGCGGCGUGGCAUGGAGUCGAUCAGUCUGUGGCACUGCUCAGGUGUUAUGAGAGCCCAGGUUGCUCUGAUAGUGGCCUUCAGCUCUUCUGUAUUGUUGGGUCUGGUGUCUCUCAUCUUCCUCUUGACAAUACCCCAUACACAGCAAAAUCUCCAGUGUUGAAAUCCUAGUGUUAAGGACUUUUAGAGUAAAGUGUUAAAGUUGUGGUGUUGAAUUUAGGGGAUUAACACUAGCUAGUGUAAACAGCGCUCUCUGGCCGGUGUCAAUACGCAGAGAAACUCUUAUAACACUCUGUUGAGUGUUAUUAGUCACAUCCGGGACAUUUGCUCGUGUGCGCGCUUGACCCAUCUGGAAUAUUUUUCACAGACGCCAUGUUCUUAGACUCGCGAUGCGGAGCAUAAUGAGGACGGAAAACAGCGAAAUUAGAGCGAUAUUUUCCUUCACUCAUGAUGCGGAGAAGACGGGGAAAUUGGUUUUAUCAAGGAAAACACCGAAAAUUCAUUUGAAUGGCUAUGCAUUGCCGCGGAAGUCGCUUUUAACAGGGGAAACAUAAGUAAGAGACAUUUUCUUUCACUGGAGAUGCGGAGCAGACGGGGAAGUUGGCAACACUGAUUCAUGCUGGUUUAACAGAAAAAUCGAAAGGAGGUGAUGUGCUUGAAGAGUAUGAAGCCACCAAUACAUUAAGUGGGAUGAGAAGAGCUUUGUUAGGACACAUACCAGAGACAUGGGUAAGCCACAAUUGCAUAUUUUAAGAUUAUUGAUUGUCAUGCUUAAUUUUUUGAUUAUUAAACAAUAAUAAUAAAGAGUCUGAUCUCCUUCUAAAAAUGUUUCUUAAAAAAUGCAUCAAAUGUAGGUUUUUGGUAUGCUUGCAUUAUUUAUUUUAUGUGCUGUCCCAUUUAUGUGCAAUCAUUUUGGUAGGAGUCCAACCAUAAGUGAACAGUAAAUGUUUACUUAUACUCAUGCCUUUUCACUGAUGCCAUGUAUGACAGUUUCUUCUGUUGAUUAUUCAAAAUAUCUAUUUUUGUGUUCCUCUGAAGACAGAAGGUCCUACAGGUGUGGAACCACAUGAGUAUAAAUAAAUGAUGACAGAAUUUUCAGUUUUGGGUUAACUAUUCUUAUAUUGUAAGUGAUACUUGUCCCUGACAUUUCACCUGAUAAAUGGAUGUGAAAUAAUCCUUUUUGUUUUUUCUCCUAUUUUACCGGAGCACUUUUGUGAUGCUGCAAGUGGGAGUUGGGUAUCUUGCUUGGCUGAAAACUGCAGAGAAACACAUCUCGUCUUGCUGAAAACUAAAACUAAAAAUUGGUCCGCUUAUUCACGUCUGGUGUAUGAGAUUCGAGGCUAAACAUAAUUUUUUUAAAUAAUCAAUAACAUUUUUUAAAAACCUUACAAAAAUAUUGGUUAAAAUGCAUCAAUCGCACAUGGCUUUGCAUGUUAAAUGAUUUACAAGGUGGUGCAAACAUUUUUCAGUGUUUGCACUGCAGGACCUAUUUUAUUAUCGACCAUUUGAUAAGCAGUAUUCUUACAAUUCUGAUGACCGAAAUGGAUAUAUUGUGCCUUCUUGUCACUUAUUCUAAAAGUGAACUGUCAUGUUGUGAAGUGUUGACAUGUUAAUAAACAACUGC